rnacentral:pre_miRNA from 1 species
CAGCUUUUGUGAUUUUGUAAUUUAGCUAAUAACAAUUGCAUAGUCACAAAAGCGAUU